UCCAUUUUUCUCCCCAUGUAUACAAAGCAUAACUGUCAUGAUAUGUGUCAUUUUAAGCCGAUUUUCCAUCCUGUGAUGCGAUGAAUUGGAGCGAAUAAGCUGGAAGCAGCAGAUGGCUAACAGCCCAGUGCGGUUGCUAAGGUUGCCUGAAUGCUACUCGCAGAGUUUUCUGGUUAGCAUAGAACAAGACAAGAGAGCUACACACAGAAUGAGCUAUCAAUCGUGUAAAAAGCGUAAUCCGUAGUCUUAAAAAAAUGAUUCGUCUGUGUUUGGAUGGCAGGCAUAUUGGCAAGUUGUCAUGACAACAGGGAUGUUCUGCUGAUGAAGACUUGCUGUCGACUGUCCAAUCGGAUGACGGCAGCUUAAACUGCAGCGUGAGCGCAAGUGUUGAGGGGGAUACACGUUUUCCAGAUACACACAAUGCCAAGGACGACGCCCUUGUCCAAGACCACCUACGGAUCAUAAUCGGCUACAGGAGAGGGAUGGCUAACGGACUGACACGAUCUACUUUGGAAUGAGAACAAGGCGGAGGAAGAAACGAGACAGGGCCAGGUAGGGGGUCGCCUUAAUGUAGACUGGUCUGAAUGUCAUCGAUUAUCUUUGCCAUCUUUGCAGUCCGCCAUUGUGGGUUAUGGCUGAGAAACACAACAUGAAAAUACGGACAUUUGGCAACAAGAUUACCGUUUAGAAAUCAUGACACUCCAGCAGGUGGUUAUAAGGGCAAAGAUGUGUGAAGAAUGUCAAACAUAAUGGUAUAUAAUGAGCAAAAUAACAAACCUGCUAACACUUGUGUCAAGCUAUUACUGGCAUGAAAUGCUAAUACGCCAAUGCUAACAAAAAAGAAUGGCCUUUUAUUCCUAUGGUGAUUUCUGCAUUUUCUCUUUUUCUCCCCUGUUGAAUUGGAUUAGAAUAGGCAGCGGUGAAAUGCCUUUGGACGACUGUAGCCACCGUUUAGCAAUGGAUGCACUGGAAAGGAAAGCCCGCUUUUUUUUCCGUCUAGCACUGCAGGUAGCCAUAUACUCUUACCCUUUCCAACAGAGAUCCUUUCGGACCGAAUCACAGAAAAUAUCUUAUAAGGAUCCGACGAAGGGCCCUCACAUAAGACGAUUAAAAUCUUCAUUCAUUCACAGUGAAUCUCUUUUACAUCCCCUCCUUCUUCCCCCUCUGUUCCUCAAGCUUCGCCAUCAUGGGGUCUCGGUGGGAAGCCAGUGAGAAAACUGACCCCCAGUGGUGGAUAUCUUUGAUUCUUCAAACAUUGGGCUAAAAUGCAGGCUGUCAGCAUGCGAAACCCACCUUUAUUGACUCUUGGUUGGAUAUCAAGCAGAUUAGAUAUUGGAUACUGGUCUUGUUUUGAAAACUUUUUUGUUAGUUCUAACAAGAUCAGUGGUCAGGUUGAAGCCAUAAUCGUACCAUUAGAUUUGCUUUGGAGAUAAGUAACAUGUCAUAUAUGUGUAAAUAAGUAUAGCAUAACAAAAAAAAAAAAAAGAUUGUGUUUUUUGCAGAAUAUGUAUAAGAAAUAAUCUAAGUAGGGAUGCAUUGGGAUGCAUUCAAACCAAGUACAGGUUCACAAGCAAAGUCCAGACCAUGGUUAUAGCUGUCUGUGCAGAGCGGUCUGCUACUAUCUGUGCACCAAAUGACCAGUUAGGGCCUCCGGGAGGAAAUCGCAAGCAUUCCUCUAUGAUCGUAAGACGUAUUUACAUACGCUCUCUAAAUAAUUCUGUGGUAUGCUGUAGCAACCAAUGAAAUUUUUUUGUUGUUGUUGUUGUUGUUUUUUUUUUACCCAAAAGGGCUUUCUAUUAUUUAUGCCCUUAAAACUCGACACGGGUUUGGUCACGAAGGCUG
ensembl:lncRNA